rfam:Magnetospirillum magneticum AMB-1 DNA, complete genome.
GCCGGGAGGGCGGCGGAUACAACACCCCGUGAGGGGGAAGAAGCCCGCACGACCUAUGCCGUGUUCUGAACCUCCCGGCGCCAGUGC